GACUGCAGGCUGCAACUCGCCUGCACGAAGUCGGAAUUGCUAGUAAUCGUAGGUCAGCAUACUACGGUGAAUACGUUCCCGGGCCUUGUACACACCGCCCGUCACACCAUGGGAGUCGGAAAUGCCCGAAGCCAGUGACCCAACUGCAAAGAGGGAGCUGUCGAAGGCAGGUCUGAUAACUGGGGUGAAGUCGUAACAAGGUAUC
rnacentral:rRNA from 1 species